ACGGGUGAGUAACGCGUGGGUAACCUGCCCUGCACAGGGGGACAAUAGUUAGAAAUGACUGCUAAUACCGCAUAAGCGCACAGUACCGCAUGGUACAGUGUGAAAAACUCCGGUGGUACAGGAUGGGCCCGCGUCUGAUUAGUUAGUUGGCGGGGUAACGGCCCACCAAGACGACGAUCAGUAGCCGGCUUGAGAGAGUGAACGGCCACAUUGGGACUGGGACACGGCCCAAACUCCUACGGGAGGCAGCAGUGGGGAAUAUUGCACAAUGGGGGAAACCCUGAUGCAGCAACGCCGCGUGAGUGAAGAAGUAUUUCGGUAUGUAAAGCUCUAUCAGCAGGGAAGAAAAUGACGGUACCUGACUAAGAAGCCCCGGCUAACUACGUGCCAGCAGCCGCGGUAAUACGUAGGGGGCAAGCGUUAUCCGGAUUUACUGGGUGUAAAGGGAGCGCAGGCGGUGCGGCAAGUCAGAUGUGAAAACCCGGGGCUCAACCCCGGGACUGCAUUUGAAACUGUCGGACUAGAGUGCCGGAGAGGUAAGUGGAAUUCCUAGUGUAGCGGUGAAAUGCGUAGAUAUUAGGAGGAACACCAGUGGCGAAGGCGGCUUACUGGACGGUAACUGACGCUGAGGCUCGAAAGCGUGGGGAGCAAACAG
rnacentral:rRNA from 1 species